rnacentral:rRNA from 1 species
AUUGAACGCUGGCGGAAUGCUUUACACAUGCAAGUCGAGCGGCAGCGCGGGGCAACCUGGCGGCGAGCGGCGAACGGGUGAGUAAUACAUCGGAACGUGCCCAGACGUGGGGGAUAACUACUCGAAAGAGUGGCUAAUACCGCAUACGAUCUAAGGAUGAAAGCGGGGGAUCGCAAGACCUCGCGCGUUUGGAGCGGCCGAUGGCAGAUUAGGUAGUUGGUGAGGUAAAGGCUUACCAAGCCUGCGAUCUGUAGCUGGUCUGAGAGGAUGAUCAGCCACACUGGGACUGAGACACGGCCCAGACUCCUACGGGAGGCAGCAGUGGGGAAUUUUGGACAAUGGGCGAAAGCCUGAUCCAGCCAUUCCGCGUGCAGGAUGAAGGCCCUCGGGUUGUAAACUGCUUUUGUACGGAACGAAAAGGCUCUUGCUAAUACCAGGAGUCCAUGACGGUACCGUAAGAAUAAGCACCGGCUAACUACGUGCCAGCAGCCG